rnacentral:lncRNA from 1 species
CCCUGCUCCCUUGCCUCAAGGUUGAAAAGAUCCUGUGUCAUAAUAUAUGCUCCAGUGCUCCCCCUGGGAUCACAUCAAGCUAGAUUUCACAUGAAACCACGUUCUUAUGAGACUCCUUCUCAUUCCCCAUCUGCCCCACACCCCAACUCUAGAGAACCUGACAUAAGAAAGUUGUUGUUCUUCAGUCACACAGUCAUGUCCAACUCUUUGUCCAACUCUUUUAAUAAACCCCAUGGACUGCAGCACGCCAGGCUUCCCUGUCCUUCACUACCUCCCAGAGUUUGCUCAAACUCAUGUCCAUUGAGUCAGUGAUGCCAUAAAAAUGAAUGAAGUCAUAAAGAUCAAGCCGUGGGGCAGAGAGCAGGGUGGAGAAGGAUGGAGAACAGAUCUGAAGACCUGCUAAUGGGCGCUAUCCGGCACACUGGAACAUCAAGCAGCUGUGCCCACCCCAAAACACACUACUCCACUCUUCCGUACUAACAGAUCCUGACUACGUUUGAGAGUAAAAUAUCCUCUUCUACUCUCCGUAUCCCCUGAAGCUAGGAUGGCAUGUAUCCCAAUCAGGCCAGUGAGAUGCGCCCGGGUGCCUGCUCUCCGUCUGGAGUUGAUCAGUCAGGCUUGCUGUUCAGGGGAUUCCUAUAUGGAGUUGGACACUGGAGCAGAAUCUCAGAGUCCAGCAGACAAAGGAAUCCUGAAACAAAUCAAAAAAUGAGAUAUGUGAAAUUGUUUGAAAAAAUAAGAACAGUACAUGAGUUGGUGAAGAUUGGGAUCUGCACUUGUUUUCUCCAGAGAAUCCUCUAUAACACAGGUGAUCAGUUGACCUUUCUAAGUAAUCAAUGAAUAAAACUGUUGCCAAAAUAGAUUUUAAGAUCUUUGAAGGCAAUAGGGCAUGCUUUAUAGCAGGGCCUCGAAGAAUUCUGCUUUUGAUAAGAAAGCAUUCAAAAAACAAUAG